rnacentral:lncRNA from 1 species
ACAGAUGCCUCAUGUUAGGAAAUUUUCCUGGAUUUGAGUCUUCAAUGUGGGAGCAGAGUUACCUGAAUAUAUGGAGUUGAUGGAGACAUUCCUUGAUGAGAAGCAGAAAUUCCCCAGGGACCUUGUAAAUCUGAAGCAGAUAAAGGGAAAUGAAGAAACCAAGUUUUACAACUUUGAUGAGUGGCAAAAUUUGUCAAUAAGAGCUAGAUAUUAAGUAAUUAGCUUUUAGGAAGCAAAGUGUAUUGGACUUGGCUAUGAUAUGAAGGAAUUCAUUUAAUAAAUCAAAACGAAAACAAAAACAACAAAAACAAAGAAGCGAAGCAUGAAUCUCCUAAUCAGCAGAAAAGGGAGGACAGCCGGAGACAAUCGUAUUCCUGAUCGAUACUGAUGUAAACUUGUGCUGGAACAAUGGGACCAUCUCGUUGCAGGAAAACAAGCUCAGGGCUCCCACUGAUUCUACAUUAUGUGCAGUUCAGGAAACCAGGCUGAAGAAUGUGAAAUACAUCGCCCAAAGUCAGACACGGAGGAACAACUGCUUCGGAGCUAGCAAUUUCCUGAGCUGGAAUUGCACCACUGGCCUGUAGAAUCCAAACUGUUUUCUACCAGAACAACUCCUUCCCUGCAGGAAGCAGGGUGUGCACAGCUGAACCCUGGUCUGAGAAGGUUGAAGUCACUGACUCAGCCCCAGCAAGGAAGUUGCCCUUCGACUUCUGACCUCUGGCCCUGUUUGAAAACCAACUCAAAUCGUUUUUCUUUUUCAGAAGCUGCUUGCCUCCGCUUCACCUUCCACCAUGAUUGGCCUGAAAUAACUCGGUGACUAAGGAAUUUCAUUGAGAAAAAAGACAAAAACAAAACAAAUACUUUGUCUUUUGGAAUAAAUGAAUCCUUACAGAAGAGUGGUAAAAUGAACACGAGUUUGGAUCUGUGGAGCCAUUAUUAAGUAAUGAAGACUGAAUUCACCUUCUUUGGGCUGAAGCGAAAUAGAGAUGAAAA